rnacentral:rRNA from 2 species
CAGUGAUAAACUGGAGGAAGGUGGGGAUGACGUCAAGUCAUCAUGGCCCUUACGACCAGGGCUACACACGUGCUACAAUGGCGCAUACAAAGAGAAGCGACCUCGCGAGAGCAAGCGGACCUCAUAAAGUGCGUCGUAGUCCGGAUUGGAGUCUGCAACUCGACUCCAUGAAGUCGGAAUCGCUAGUAAUCGUGGAUCAGAAUGCCACGGUGAAUACGUUCCCGGGCCUUGUACACACCGCCCGUCACACCAUGGGAGUGGGUUGCAAAAGAAGUAGGUAGCUUAACCUUCGGGAGGGCGCUUACCACUUUGUGAUUCAUGACUGGGGUGAAGUCGUAACAAGGUAACCGUAGGGGAACCUGCGGUUGGAUCACC